UGUCGUUUGCAAUGGCUGAGCCUAGAG
rnacentral:piRNA from 1 species